rnacentral:rRNA from 1 species
AUUGAACGCUGGCGGCAGGCCUAACACAUGCAAGUCGAGCGGAUGAAGGGAGCUUGCUCCUGGAUUCAGCGGCGGACGGGUGAGUAAUGCCUAGGAAUCUGCCUGGUAGUGGGGGAUAACGUCCGGAAACGGGCGCUAAUACCGCAUACGUCCUGAGGGAGAAAGUGGGGGAUCUUCGGACCUCACGCUAUCAGAUGAGCCUAGGUCGGAUUAGCUAGUUGGUGGGGUAAAGGCCUACCAAGGCGACGAUCCGUAACUGGUCUGAGAGGAUGAUCAGUCACACUGGAACUGAGACACGGUCCAGACUCCUACGGGAGGCAGCAGUGGGGAAUAUUGGACAAUGGGCGAAAGCCUGAUCCAGCCAUGCCGCGUGUGUGAAGAAGGUCUUCGGAUUGUAAAGCACUUUAAGUUGGGAGGAAGGGCAGUAAGCUAAUACCUUGCUGUUUUGACGUUACCAACAGAAUAAGCACCGGCUAACUUCGUGCCAGCAGCCGCGGUAA